UCGAAACGCAAAGUGCGAACGCUCUGCAAUUAAUCAUGUGUUUUAUUCAUAUCAAUCUGUAUUAAGUAUUACAUAAUCAAAUGCAAAAUUUGCCGGGAGUGCCGAUUAAAGUGACGGGCGAUUGCCGUAAUAUAUUAUUUAUCGUGAGUUUGUGCGCGAUUAACAGUGUUUAGUGCAUUCUGUAGCGACUAAAGCAAACUACUUAGCUGAAUACAAUUACUAGCGUAAAAACAGACUUAGCUGAGAUACAACUGGUGAGUGUGCCCUAGAGCUAAUGAAGAGCAAUCUAAGGCAGAAUCUGCAGGUAAAAUAAACUGGAAUAUCCUAGCUGAUCAACUCCGCUGCUGCGCAUCGUGCCGGU